UAUAAUCAACACUCAGAUAUACCACUGGUGUUAACCCCACUAGAAUCAACACUCAGAUAUAACACUGGUGUUAACCCCACUAGAAUCAACACUCAGAUAUAACACUGGUGUUAACCCCACUAGAAUCAACACUCAGAUAUAACACUGGUGUUAACCCCACUAGAAUCAACACUCAGAUAUACCACUGGUGUUAACCCCACUAGAAUCAACACUCAGAUAUACCACUGGUGUUAACCCCACUAGAAUCAACACUCAGAUAUAACACUGGUGUUAACCCCACUAGAAUCAACACUCAGAUAUACCACUGGUGUUAACCCCACUAGAAUCAACACUCAGAUAUACCACUGGUGUUAACCCCACUAGAAUCAACACUCAGAUAUACCACUGGUGUUAACCCCACUAGAAUCAACACUCAGAUAUAACACUGGUGUUAACCCCACUAGAAUCAACACUCAGAUAUAACACUGGUGUUAACCCCACUAGAAUCAACACUCAGAUAUACCACUGGUGUUAACCCCACUAGAAUCAACACUCAGAUAUACCACUGGUGUUAACCCCACUAGAAUCAACACUCAGAUAGAACCCUGGUAUUAACCCCACUAUAAUCAACACUCAGAUAUACCACAGGUGUUAACCCCACUAGAAUCAACACUCAGAUAGAACCAUGGUAUUAACCCCACUAUAAUCAACACUCAGAUAUACCACUGGUGUUAACCCCACUAUAAUCAACACUCAGAUAUACCACUGGUAUUAACCCCACUAUAAUCAACACUCAGAUAGAACCAUGGUAUUAACCCCACUAUAAUCAACACUCAGAUAGAACCAUGGUAUUAACCCCACUAUAAUCAACACUCAGAUAGAACCAUGGUAUUAACCCCGUUAUAAUCAACACCGAUAUACCCAGAAAUGUGCUGCGUACAUGUGCCAUUUGCAACUUAAAAUCUCUCUCAGGAAC